rnacentral:rRNA from 1 species
UACGUAGGGUGCGAGCGUUGUCCGGAAUUAUUGGGCGUAAAGAGCUCGUAGGCGGUCUGUCGCGUCGGUCGUGAAAACCUGCAGCUUAACUGUGGGCGAGCGGUCGAUACGGGCAUGACUGGAGUUCGGCAGGGGAGACUGGAAUUCCUGGUGUAGCGGUGAAAUGCGCAGAUAUCAGGAGGAACACCGGUGGCGAAGGCGGGUCUCUGGGCCGAUACUGACGCUGAGGAGCGAAAGCGUGGGGAGCGAACAGG